AGGAAAAGAAACUAACUAGGAUUUCCUUAGUAGCGGCGAGCGAACAGGAAGGAGCCCAGCACCGAAUCCCGCGGUUCCGCCGCAGGGAAAUGUGGUGUUCGGGAGGGUCCGACUAUCCCGAGGUGUCGCAUCGCGUCCAAGUCCAUCUUGAAUGGGGCCACUUACCCGCAGAGGGUGCCAGGCCCGUAGCGACCGGUACGCGCCUCGGGAGGAUCUCUCCUUAGAGUCGGGUUGCUUGAGAGUGCAGCUCUAAGUGGGUGGUAAACUCCAUCUAAGGCUAAAUACGACCACGAGACCGAUAGCGAACAAGUACCGUGAGGGAAAGUUGAAAAGAACUUUGAAGAGAGAGUUCAAGAGUACGUGAAACCGUUCAGGGGUAAACCUAAGAAACCCAAAAGAUCGAACGGGGAGAUUCAUCGUCAGCGUCGCUGGCUUCGCGUCGGUGGGCGAUGCGCCGCGGGCUCGUCCCGCGGGCACGCUAGCGUGCGCGCACGUCCGGCGUCGUCGUCGUGCACUUCUCCCCUAGUAGAACGUCGCGACCCGCUGGGUGUCGGUCUACGGCCCGGGUGAGGCGACUGCCGCGUCGUCGGUAAUACGACACGCGGCAAACCCUCGGAUGCCCGACCGGCUGCCCGGCGGUACUCGCACGGUAUCAGGCCGCAAUCAAAUCGUGUUUGCGUCAAGCCCGUCGCAAGCGCGCGCCACGGUUACUCGGAGGUUACGGACCUAGCGCCGUCCCCGGUCCUGGUCCGCUGUUGGCCGACGGUGACCCUUUGACAGGCCUCGAACGGGGCGCGACGCGAAGGUUAAAAACUUGGCGCCCGCCUCGAUACCGGUCGGCGACGCUACUGCUUUGGGUACUCUUAGGACCCGUCUUGAAACACGGACCAAGGAGUCUAACAUGUGCGCGAGUCAUUGGGACUAGCAAAACCCAAAGGCGCAAUGAAAGUGAAGGUCGGCCUUGGCGCCGACCGAGGGAGGAUGGGCCGCGUCGCGAUGCGGCCUCGCACUCCCGGGGCGUCUCGUUCUCAUCGCGAGAAGAGGCGCACCAAGAGCGUACACGUUGGGACCCGAAAGAUGGUGAACUAUGCCUGGUCAGGACGAAGUCAGGGGAAACCCUGAUGGAGGUCCGUAGCGAUUCUGACGUGCAAAUCGAUCGUCGGAACUGGGUAUAGGGGCGAAAGACUAAUCGAACCAUC
rnacentral:rRNA from 1 species